rnacentral:tRNA from 1 species
UGCGCUAUUAGCUCAGUUGGUAGAGCAACUGACUCUUAAUCAGUGGGUCCCGGGUUCGAAUCCCUGAUGGCGCAUC